AAUGAACGCUGGCGGCGUGCCUAACACAUGCAAGUCGAGCGAGAAAGUUCCUUCGGGAAUGAGUAAAGCGGCGGACGGUUGAGUAACACGUGAGAAUCUACCCUUUAGUGAAGAAUACCUUCGAGAAAUCGAAAUUAAUACUGCAUAAGUCCCUUCGGGGAGAAAAGUGGCCUCUUUGCUACUGCUAAAAGGAUGAGCUUGCGGACUAUCAGCUAGUUGGUGAGGUAAAGGCUCACCAAGGCUAUGACGGUUAGCCGGCCUGAGAGGGUGAACGGCCAGACUGGAACUUAGACACGGUCCAGACUCCUACGGGAGGCAGCAGUGAGGAAUAUUGCGCAAUGGGCGAAAGCCUGACGCAGCGACGCCGCGUGGAGGAUGAAGGUUUUCGGAUCGUAAACUCCUGUUAAGUGGGAAGAAAAGUCUGUGGUUAAUACCCGCAGAAAAUGACGGUACCAUUAUAGAAAGCACCGGCUAACUACGUAGCCAGCAGCCGCGGUAAU
rnacentral:rRNA from 1 species